GGGGGUAUAGCUCAGUGGCAGAAUGCUUGCUUAGCAUGCACAAGGCUGUGGGUUCAAUCCCCAGUACCUCCA
rfam:Camelus ferus unplaced genomic scaffold scaffold1402, whole genome shotgun sequence.